rnacentral:lncRNA from 1 species
AGUGAGUGGGUGAUCAGGACUCGGUAUGGCCACAGGCUCCCUCACAAAAAUGGAUGUAUCUGUGAACCAUGGGCUGCCUAUUUCUCUCCUGUAGAGUGGAAGGUGCUGAUGCUCUUUCACAACUGCUCUAACUAUACGGAUGUGAUAUAACUGAUGAUGUCACAAUAGCCUUUGGGGGAAAUGUUAUUCUGACUACCACAAUAUUUCAGUAUGUAUCUUUAAAAUAAGGAUUUUAAAACCCAACGCAAUCAAAAUACCAUUACUUAUUUGCCAUCUGUGUAUUCUCCUCAGUCUGUUCAUGUUUUUUGUCCAUCUUCUAACUGGAUGGUACAUUUGCUUACUUUCGAGGAAGUUGCUGAAAGCCUUGGUAAUGUUAUCUUUGUUCUCCACUCUGCUUUUGGGGAGGAUGUUUUCCAUGACUAUCCGAGAUGAGGCUUGGGGCUGGGUGGCCAGAGUUAGCAAAUAAAAAUACAGAAUGGAUACUAUUUUAGUGUAAGUAUAUCCCAUGCAAUAUUUGGGACCUACUUGUACCAAAAAUGAUUUGUUCUUUUUCUGAAACUCGAAUUUAACAGGGUAUCCUAAAUUGUAUCUGGCAACCCUC